AACAUUUGAUUUUUUUAUGUUUCCUUUUUAAUAUAGCAGAAUGAAAGAAGACAUUUUAGAAAAACAAAAACGGCCAAACACUGAAAAUUGAACAUUUUCGUAAAUUUUUUUCCUUUGAGAGAAAGCUGAUGUUUCAAGAAUUACACUUGAAAAUGCCCGUAAGAGCUAAUUCUGGAGAAGUUGUUUGCUAAAGUGAUCAAAAUCGAGCGGCUGUCUUACUUACAGUGAAGUGUCAAGUUUCAAAGGAACAUUUAAAAUCACAUGAAACAUCUUAUGUUUAUUAAUCGCAGGGAAGCAGCUCACACAUGGAAUCAUUUUUCCAUAAAAUGAACUAUCUGGUGCAGAUAUAUGUUGGGCUUGUUCCAGUACCAAAAAAACGUUAACGUUUUUGGAUCACAUGAAGAAUCACACUCAAAGUACCAUCGUGUUUAUUAAAUGCCUUCAAUAAGAAAUAUUGUAUUUACACUGUGUGCAUAUCUUUGAUAUUCAUCUUGUUCAUACAGUGGAUACAUGUUACUUGAUAGGGCUCCUUGUUGUUUCUGAGGUAAGAGAUUUUCUUUCUUUUUUGUCUUUGAGCACACAUAUACACAAUAUAGAUAAAACACUGUAGUCCUAUGUGCCCAAAUAUAGUUAGAUUCAGUGUUUCUCAAUAAGUGUGUCGCUGAAGUCUAACAAAUGUGUUGAAUAUAUUUACCUUCUCAGAGUUUCAUUAUUUAUUAUUUCAUUCUUCAAAUCAUGUUUUAUUUACAUCCAUGUUUGCUGUCCUUCAGUAUUGGAGUAUUUGCUUGCUGUGCUGCCUGUGUACAGAACUUUGCAUGUGCAUCAAAAAGCGUUGCUCUAUUUAACUACUACUACUAUGCAUGAACCUGUAAACUGUUGCAUUUUCAAGUUUGAUAAUUCAAUU